rnacentral:rRNA from 1 species
UGGCAAGUCGAACGCUUUGUCUUUAACUGAUCUGACGAGCUUGCUCUGAUUUGAUUUUAUCUGACAAAGAGUGGCGAACGGGUGAGUAACACGUGGGUAACCUACCUCUUAGCAGGGGAUAACAUUUGGAAACAAGUGCUAAUACCGUAUAAUACCAACAACCGCAUGGUUGUUGGUUGAAAGAUGGUUCUGCUAUCACUAAGAGAUGGACCCGCGGUGCAUUAGCUAGUUGGUAAGGUAACGGCUUACCAAGGCAAUGAUGCAUAGCCGAGUUGAGAGACUGAUCGGCCACAAUGGGACUGAGACACGGCCCAUACUCCUACGGGAGGCAGCAGUAGGGAAUCUUCCACAAUGGGCGCAAGCCUGAUGGAGCAACGCCGCGUGUGUGAUGAAGGGUUUCGGCUCGUAAAACACUGUUAUAAGAGAAGAACGGCACUGAGAGUAACUGUUCAGUGUGUGACGGUAUCUUACCAGAAAGGAACGGCUAAAUACGUGCCAGCAGCCGCGGUAAUACGUAUGUUCCAAGCGUUAUCCGGAUUUAUUGGGCGUAAAGCGAGCGCAGACGGUUAUUUAAGUCUGAAGUGAAAGCCCUCAGCUCAACUGAGGAAUGGCUUUGGAAACUGGAUGACUUGAGUGCAGUAGAGGAAAGUGGAACUCCAUGUGUAGCGGUGAAAUGCGUAGAUAUAUGGAAGAACACCAGU